rnacentral:rRNA from 1 species
GUGGUAGUCGGCGGGGCACAGUGGCGACGGGUGAGUAACACGUGUGGCAAUCUGCCCUGCACUCUGGGACAAGCCCUGGAAACGGGGUCUAAUACCGGAUAUGACACGGGGAUGCAUGUUCCUGUGUGUAAAGCUCCGGCGGUGCAGGAUGAGCCCGCGGCCUAUCAGCUAGUUGGUGGGGUAGAGGCCUACCAAGGCGACGACGGGUAGCCGGCCUGAGAGGGCGACCGGCCACACUGGGACUGAGACACGGCCCAGACUCCUACGGGAGGCAGCAGUGGGGAAUAUUGCACAAUGGGCGAAAGCCUGAUGCAGCGACGCCGCGUGAGGGAUGACGGCCUUCGGGUUGUAAACCUCUUUCAGCAGGGAAGAAGCUUUCGGGUGACGGUACCUGCAGAAGAAGCACCGGCUAACUACGUGCCAGCAGCCGCGGUAAUACGUAGGGUGCGAGCGUUGUCCGGAAUUAUUGGGCGUAAAGAGCUCGUAGGCGGCUUGUCACGUCGGUUGUGAAAGCCCGGGGCUUAACCCCGGGUCUGCAGUCGAUACGGGCAGGCUAGAGUUCGGUAGGGGAGAUCGGAAUUCCUGGUGUAGCGGUGAAAUGCGCAGAUAUCAGGAGGAACACCGGUGGCGAAGGCGGAUCUCUGGGCCGAUACUGACGCUGAGGAGCGAAAGCGUGGGGAGCGAACAGGAUUAGAUACCCUGGUAGUCCACGCCGUAAACGGUGGGAACUAGGUGUGGGCGACAUUCCACGUCGUCCGUGCCGCAGCUAACGCAUUAAGUUCCCCGCCUGGGGAGUACGGCCGCAAGGCUAAAACUCAAAGGAAUUGACGGGGGCCCGCACAAGCGGCGGGAGCAUGUGGCUUAAAUUCGACGCAACGCGAAGAACCCUUACCAAGGGCUUUGACAUACACCGGGAAAACCGUGGAGACACGGUCCCCCUUGUGGUCGGUGUACAGGUGGUGCAUGGCUGUCGUCAGCUCGUGUCGUGAGAAUGUUGGGUUAAGUCCGCAACGAGCGCCAACCCAUUAUCCUGUAUGCCAGCACGUCCUUCAGGUGGUGGGGAACUCACGGCAGACGCCGGUUCACUCGGAGUAAGGUGGACCAAACGUUCAAAG